rnacentral:rRNA from 1 species
GCGGCGAGCGAACGGGGACCAGCCGAGCCCAAUAAGUGACCAGAAUGCGUUGGGAAGCGCAGCCAUAGCGGGUGACAGCCCCGUAUGGGAAGCUUUGAGGGACGUAUCAAGUAGGGCGGAACACGUGAAAUUCUGUCUGAAGAUCGGAGGACCACCUUCGAAGGCUAAGUACUCCUUACUGACCGAUAGCGAACCAGUACCGUCAGGGAAAGGC